GUUUCAGUUGAAAGGUGCUGAAGUGAAUCUAACUCUUGUCAGAGGCCAUGUGGAAUCAUCUUCUGUCGGUAGUGGACCAAGUCCUGUCUGCCGAUUUGUCAAUAUAGAGUUGUGUGAUGUUCAAUUCCAGGGUGGUACUGAAGGCACUGUCUUAUUAGAAAAUCCUAAAGGUGAAUACCCAAUUACGCUAAAUGAACUUGUCAAACAAGUUGGUGUGGUAUUUGGUUUGCAAGGGAGAAAACUGAAAUUGUACAAAUCAAAGGAAAAGUCUGCUGAAGUUACAGUUGAAUCUAUAAAGAAUGUGUUUUCACUUCAUGGCUCUACACUGUAUGCAUUCACUAAAUAAUAUUAACAAAAUUUGAAUUUACAAGUUACAUAAAUUGUAUCUCGAUUUUUAAAAGAACACAUCCAAAUAUCAGCGGCCUGAAAACGGUCCCGAGUUGAUAAUACCGAUUAUUUCAAAUAAUAUAAUUAUUCACGAUGAUAACGUCCAGACAAACAAAUAAGUAAAUUAAAACUGAAAUACUGACAGACAUAUUUAAACCUUUAUGGCUUUUAAUUUAGCAAGGGCUUUUAUUGUUAAAGGAAUAAAUUUUUUUGUGAUUCCCAAAAUCACAAAAAAUUCACAGCAAAGAAACAUACUUGGAGUUGACAUUGUCAUUAUCAUCUUCACAACGAUGUCCACAUUUUCAUGUGCUUGAACAGCUUUCUUUGUUUUAUGUCAUUUCUAUUUUCAGUAAAAUUGUGACAAACAUUAUUAGAGGGAGAUUGCAAGGACUACAUGACAUGCCACUAUGUCUUUCAAAAUAGCAAAACUAGUGACUGUGACAUUUUCAUAAUUAUCCAGAUUAGCAAAUAUUGUGUCUCGCACAGUAACUCUGGUUACAACUCCAUGUAAGGAAAUAUAUUUUCUUUUUGAACUGACAUUUUACUUCUAUGUUUGCUUUCAAUUUGAACGCCUAAUUCAACUUUUUGUCACUUUUCACCAAUUCAAAAUGAACUCCUCAUUUUUUUAAAAACAUUUUGAUGUUAAUAAACUAGCCAAUAUGGAUGUAUAUCUGUUUGAUCCUAAAUUAACAAAUAUUAAAGAAAAAUGUUGAUCUAAAAUUAUGAUUUUAUGGUUAGAAAUAGGGCUUCUUACUAGAAAACAUAACUAAAACAACCCACAUAAAAAACAAUUGUAUAUGCUCUGCCAUGAUGUAUAUCGGAAUACUGAUUUAUGUUGAAAUAAACUACCAUUACAAUUCCCUUAACC